UGCUCACCCAGCAACCUUUGAAUACAAAUUCAGUUUCUCAACUAUCUUAAUAAUAAGAAAAGAGGGCCCUGGAUAAUGAACACAAAAUCAGCCACUUGAAGGGCAGCCCCCAUUGUGAAAUAAAAAAUUGGCAUUCUGGUUUAUACGUAAUUUUUUAAGCAGAGCAUCACAACCAUUUAUGAAAGCUACCACGUGACACAGGAUAUCUGUUCUCUCCCCACCUUUCUCCCCACAGUUGAACAUUUGGGGGCCCAGCGUCCUGAGCACAGAUUGGAGACCGAUAUUCCAAAGCUCUGGCACAGGAAUGAGACAUCCCUUGUCCAAAGACUGUGUGCAUGGAAAUGGUUUGAGGAGCCUGAAAAAUUCUCUAUAGACUGAAACCUGUCUGCGUCUCUGUGAACCUGAAAAGUUGAGGCCAACACCCUAGACGGCUGUGAUUCCACCCAGAUGCUCUCUCCCUAUGAGGCAUAGCCACAGGAGGACAUCUCUGCCAUCAAGCGACCCCCAGCGGCUUUUCUAGAGAAUCAAAGCGCCUUUCGAGGUGGUGAUUCUGUAUCCCGAGGCAGAAGAAAAUGAGGACAGGCUUGGAGCAUCCUGUUGCUGCCAGUGAGUAGUCGGGGACGUUCCCAAGGGCAUUGGUGCUGAAAAGAUAGAAGGGAUAGUCUUCAAAGGCCCCCCCUAGGGCCAUCACUGGGUGAACAGUCUGAGACGAGGGCCGACAGAGAGAGCAGGAGCCCAAGAGUCAGAUGGCUCUCUGACACUGAACAGGGGACUCUUUGGGAGCAGGUGUCUGUCCGGCCUUCCAAAGAACUCGUGAAAGCAUCCCAUAUCACCUGCACAACAGGGCCAGCAUUUGGAUGGCUGGUCAAUCAGAGAAAGAGGAAGAACCGGGGGGAGGGACGGGAUCAGUCUGGAGAAGUGCGCGGAUGCAAACAGCAACUACCACAACAAAGAUUCUGAGCCCUGGAGGCACAAGGAAAUGGUUUAUCUUGUUCCUCCUUGCCCCUGCGCCAGAGUAGUAAGUACAGAGAAGAGAAAGAGGUGUAUGAAGGAGCAAAUUGUAUCACACACACACACACACACACACACACACGCACACACACUCCAAGCUGUUGGAGUCCCAAGGCUAAUCUGUACUGAAGGAAGGUGAAUGCUUUCGAUCAAAUAAGAGAUUAAAGUUUUUAAAUGAAAGGGGCCCAAUUUUAAUAACCGAAAUGAGUCUCUUUUAUAAUUAAAAGUGACUGAGAAGGUUGAGAACCAGUGGGAGCGGUUAUCAAGGCAGCUUACCAUGCAGGAAAUAGAAAGAUAAAGCCCAUGAUAGUAGGGAUUAGAGUACAGAGCCCUGUGAUGGCAGUUUGUAUCCCAACAAAUUGAAAUUCUUCAGUCAUACCACUUAAGUAUGAUGCGUCAUUUGAACACUAAGAAAGUGUGAGUCAAAGACAUUUGCCUCCAAUCACAAAAAAAUCUUCGGACAACCCAUAAAGCAUAACCCAUGAUUGAAUAGCCUCCCAUAUUUAAUGGUCAUUUUUAGACAGGUUUUUUUUUUUAAUAAUUAAAGAGGCUAAUUGUGUCUGCUUUCCUGUGCCGUUUGAGGUAGGUUGCUUACUAGAAACUGCAAUAUUUUAAAAAUAUAUGCAAAAUACCUUCAUCUAUAGUUAAGAUAAUAGGUAGAAAUUAAAAUGCACACACACAUAUGUAGCUUGUAGAAUGUAUCCCUAAAACUAUCAGCCAUCUUCCUGCACGCAGGUGUCAACACACUCCAUCCUCCCACCCCCAACCUCAAGAUGGUCUCAAGUCCAAUAAGUUGUCUUAGAAUAUUGUCUUAGACGUGUCCAGUUCGGCUCAGCGCCCGGCUGGUCCAUUUCCUUUUACGAACAAUGUGCUGAUCCUCCUUUACCCGUGCUCCUUUGACGGUAGAAUGUGGAUAACAGCGCCCUGGCUCUGUUUUAACAUCAAUUGUAAUAUUGUGAUUUUGCUUUUGUUGCUUCCUUCCAAGGCAUUUUGAGCCUUGAUAAAUCAUAAUUGAUAGACAUUAACCUCACAUAACUAACGCAGA